UACGGAGGGGGCUAGCGUUGUUCGGAAUUACUGGGCGUAAAGCGCACGUAGGCGGCUUGGUAAGUUAGAGGUGAAAGCCUGGAGCUCAACUCCAGAAUUGCCUUUAAGACUGCCGAGCUAGCAGGUGAGAGAGGUGAGUGGAAUUCCUGGUGUAGCGGUGAAAUGCGCAGAUAUCAGGAAGAACACCCGUGGCGAAGGCGGUUCUCUGGGACGGUACUGACGCUGAGACGCGAAAGCGUGGGGAGCGAACAGG
rnacentral:rRNA from 1 species